GUAAGCGUUGUUCGGAAUUACUGGGCGUAAAGGGUCUGUAGGUGGCUUGCUAAGUCAGACGUGAAAUCCCUCAGCUUAACUGGGGAACUGCGUCUGAGACUGGCGAGCUUGAGUGCAGGAGAGGAACGCGGAAUUCCAGGUGUAGCGGUGAAAUGCGUAGAUAUCUGGAGGAACACCGGUGGCGAAGGCGGCGUUCUGGACUGCAACUGACACUGAGGCACGAAAGCGAGGGGAGCAAACAGG
rnacentral:rRNA from 1 species